rnacentral:rRNA from 1 species
GUCUAUGGCCAUACCAUCCUGAACAAGCCCAAUGUCUGAUCUUGGGAGCUAAGCAGAGUCGGGCCUGGUUAGUACUUGGAUGGGAGACCACCUAGGAAGAUCAGGUGCUGUAGGCA